rnacentral:rRNA from 1 species
UCGAGCGAACGGACGAGAAGCUUGCUUCUCUGAUGUUAGCGGCGGACGGGUGAGUAACACGUGGAUAACCUACCUAUAAGACUGGGAUAACUUCGGGAAACCGGAGCUAAUACCGGAUAAUAUUUUGAACCGCAUGGUUCAAAAGUGAAAGACGGUCUUGCUGUCACUUAUAGAUGGAUCCGCGCUGCAUUAGCUAGUUGGUAAGGUAACGGCUUACCAAGGCAACGAUGCAUAGCCGACCUGAGAGGGUGAUCGGCCACACUGGAACUGAGACACGGUCCAGACUCCUACGGGAGGCAGCAGUAGGGAAUCUUCCGCAAUGGGCGAAAGCCUGACGGAGCAACGCCGCGUGAGUGAUGAAGGUCUUCGGAUCGUAAAACUCUGUUAUUAGGGAAGAACAUAUGUGUAAGUAACUGUGCACAUCUUGACGGUACCUAAUCAGAAAGCCACGGCUAACUACGUGCCAGCAGCCGCGGUAAUACGUAGGUGGCAAGCGUUAUCCGGAAUUAUUGGGCGUAAAGCGCGCGUAGGCGGUUUUUUAAGUCUGAUGUGAAAGCCCACGGCUCAACCGUGGAGGGUCAUUGGAAACUGGAAAACUUGAGUGCAGAAGAGGAAAGUGGAAUUCCAUGUGUAGCGGUGAAAUGCGCAGAGAUAUGGAGGAACACCAGUGGCGAAGGCGACUUUCUGGUCUGUAACUGACGCUGAUGUGCGAAAGCGUGGGGAUCAAACAGGA